GAUGAAGAACGUAGUGAAAUGCGAUAAGUAGUGUGAAUUGCAGAAUUCAGUGAAUCAUCGAAUCUUUGAACGCACAUUGCGCCCCUUGGUAUUCCAUGGGGAAUGCCUGUUCGAGCGUCAUUUGUACCUUCAAGCUCUGCUUGGUGUUGGGUGUUUGUCUCGCCUCUGCGUGUAGACUCGCCUCAAAACAAUUGGCAGCCGGCGUAUUGAUUUCGGAGCGCAGUACAUCUCGCGCUUUGCACUCAUAACGACGACGUCCAAAAGUACAUUUUUACACUCUUGACCUCGGAUCAGGUAGGGAUACCCGCUGAACUUAAGCAUAUCAAUAAGCGGAGGA
rnacentral:misc_RNA from 1 species